rnacentral:rRNA from 1 species
AUGGAUCAGGAGCUGAUCGAGCACCUUGAGGCCAAAGUGAGUGCUGACAGCGCGAGAUCUCACCCUCUCAUCGAUUUUUUUCAUACCAACCAUCGACGGCGAGCACGGUAUCACACUGAGUGGCCUAAGCAAGCAUUUCUUCCAGCGCAAUUCCGGGGCGUUAAAAAGGGGCACGUGGACGUGUCACAAGAUACAGUCGGAGUGCGGCAUGCACGCGAUGUGACACAACACCGACAAUACCUUGCCGGUGAUGCUCACGGCCCGCAGACGGGUAGCAAAAAGGUUCUGGUGCUGCACACCAACAAGAACUUCGACCAGCAGAGGACCAACUGGGUGAUGCACCAGUACCACCUCGGGGACCCGGAGCAAGAGAAGGAGCGGGAGCUGGUCCUCUGCAAGAUUUUCUACCAGACGAACACUAGGGCGAGGAGUAAAAAGAUUAUAAGUCGAGCAAGUUUCAACUGGGCUGUAGACUGCCCAGGCUUGGUUUUGUUUUUAAAAGGCCCAGCCCGUGACGACAACGAGGCACAAUGA